rnacentral:lncRNA from 1 species
CAAAACUGAAGUUGUUGUCCGAACAAAAAUCACGACAUUUUAUAUAUUGAUUACUACCUUGACAUGGAUGGAUCUUUGCUUAAACAAUAGCCCCAUGGAAUACCUGAUAUUGGUUCAAUUGUUGCUCCUGCAAUUAAAUAUAAUGUCAGUUAAAAUCUAUCUACACAUCAUAGAUUUCAGUUUCAUAAAAUGUAACAAAUUUGACUUUUGAUUUGAUAGCCAUUAUGUCUAGAAAUUUGAAGAAGAAUGAUUUUGUGGAAUGAUCUUGUAGAAUGGCAUCAAACGAAUGAUCUUGUCCAACAUGAUCACACAUGGAUAAACAAAAUCUAAUACUCCUAGAAGACUUUUAAGAAUGUCAAACACGUUUUCAAUAUUUUUGAACAACAUAUUCUACAAAACACUAGAUUUUCAUUUUAUACUCCCGUUAGAGAUGCAAUUAUAUUAUAAAUUGUUCUAAUGAAAAUAUAAAGAAUAAGUUGUAAAACUAAAAAAUUUACCUGGAGUUAAAAUUGAAGCAAUACAUAGAAGUGCAAUUAAAAAAUACAAACGGUUGAAGUGUGUAGCCAUUUUCUCAUAAAAGAUGGAUAAAC